AGUCGUAACAAGGUAUCCGUAGGUGAACCUGCGGAUGGAUCAUUAACAAAGGUGAUUUUGAAGUUGUGUGAACAGUUGGAGGUGGUGGUGGUGGUGGUGGUAUUGGGUGGUACUGGGUGGUACUGGGUGGUACUGGGUGGUACUGGGUGGUAUUGGGUGGUAUUGGGUGGUAUUGAGUGGUGUAACCUUGGUCUAACCUUGGUCAACCUCACUCAACCUCACUCAACCUCACUCUCCCAACCUCACUCUCCCAACCUCCACCACUCCGUCCCUAUAAUGUAUACAAACUGAUGUCUGCUAGUUUCAAACUAAAACAACUUUUAGCAACGGAUCUCUUGGCUCUC
rnacentral:misc_RNA from 1 species